UCGAACUUCUCUUUCAAGCUGAGUUGACCGUGAUUCAAUUCACGAAUAUCGGAGAGGAAAAGUCGUAACAGUCUUACAGUUUCGAUUCACUUUCAUCUCUUUUCGAGGGGAUACUCGCGAUUCGCGGCUGCUUCGAGAACUUCCUGCUGGUUCAUCCAUUGAACCUCAUUCUUCGGCGUUCUUUCAAUCCCUCGUCUUCCAUAGACAAGUCGUAAAUCUUUCGAAAACUAUUAGCUUGUCCAAGAAGUUUCUUUCGUUUUAUGAGGAAAUAAUAGACGCACAACGUUUUUUUGUUUUAUAUUAUUUUGUCGAAUUACGUACGAUCCAAUUUGUUCUGUUGAGAUAAAUUUCACAGACUUGGUUUUACGUUUGUACGAAGGUGCAUCGUUGUAAAAGACACGCUUGCGAAAGAAAGACACUUUCCGGACAACCUAAUACUUUCUCUGUUCGUAAAAAUUCUGUUCUACGUUUAUUUCGUUCUUUCAUAUUAAAGGAAAGCGAUACUGAUCGAUAAGUUACUUGAUACCGUUUAGUAUGUGUAACUGGUUAAAGUAUAGUACAACUGGUUCUUACGAGUUUCGUAGCAUUCAAAUAUUUAGUGUGUCUCAUUAAUCGUACUAUAAAGGAUAAGGUAAAAUUUUCUACGUGAAGAAAUAAAUCGAAAAUGUAUAAUUUUACAAUGUACAUUUUAAAAUGUACAAUUUUAUCCUACGACGUUCUUCUUUUUGGAGAAGAUAGAUUUGAAAUACUUUACGUCAGAAAUUUAUAAAGGUUAUACGUUUGACAAAACCUGUUGCUUCGCUGAAAAUAAUACUUGGUAGGAUAUUCUGUCAGCCAAUUUUUUUUAAGAAUUUUUACGAUUUUGUUGUCUCAGAGUCAUAACUUUACAAUGCUACAACUAUACACAAUUGCUUCAUUACGAUAUAUGGGAUACUUGUAUAAUCAAUUAUAAUCAUGAAGAUAAAGAGUAGUAAAUGGUAUAAUUGAAAAACACGAUUUUGUUAAUGUAACUUUAUCGAAUAAUGUUAAAAAAUGACUAGAAGUGAUAUUAAUAAGUACCUUUUAAAAAUAUCUGAAACGAAGAUUAAUGGAAAUGCUAUAUAUAUAUCGAAAUAAAAAAUAUUGAAAAGUCCUCUGAGCUGUCUUGUUAUUUUAUAAAUUUUUAUUAUAGAUACUAUACGAAUUUCCAGCUAUGCGAAUAAUUUUCCCAUUUAAUUUAGGAAAAGUUUCAUAAACUAAAUAUAUUUCAUUACGGUAUAUUUAACUCUAUUUAAUUGCAUUUACCUAUAUUUAGCUAUGUUUAAUAUAGAACACCUGCGUCCCAUAUAUAAUAUAGUUUAUAUGUAAAUAUAAUACAGCUUCAUUGACGGUAUCCAAAAAUUUUUUUUUUUUUUUAGGCACGGAUUGGCUUGGUCUUUGAUCAGAACGUCGGCUAUUAUACUCGAUAAAUUUUCAUUAUCCCUCGUGUCAUCAAUUUCGCGGCACGGAAAUUCAUCGUUGCUCGAACCACGCGAAAAAUAUCCAGGCCAAAGGAACGAACGAGAGAGAGAGAGAGAGGGGGGGGGGCAGGAGGAAAUGGAAGAAGAAAAAUGCGAGAGAAAUAAAAGGGAGGAGACCGAAAAGAGAGCUGUUCGUAUUAGGUCGGUGAGACAAUGAUCGAGCGAAACUCAACGUCGAUGGUCUUGCGUAUAAAUUCAAUAAAGGAUGGACGAUGCAAAUUUAUCAACAGUAUCCUCGCAUAAAAGUUCCUCACCUUUUUGACCAACGUCACGAUGAUUUCAUAGAAGAUAUAGUGGAUUUAA